UGGUGUUCGCGUACGUCGCGGUCCGGGGUCCAGUGCAGAUAUCCGGAAGGGAACUCCUGGUAACCAGACAAGGCUGAGAAGCCGCUCAUGACAGUUGGCGUAGUCGGCAGGAUACGGAAGAAGAGCUCCGGAGCAGGCAAAGACUGCACAGGAGAUCACCCUUUGAGGAAACAUUCCAAAAGGACAUCGAUGUGCAGGCAGACGGGGACCCAAACCCAGAUAAUAUAAGACCAUAUAAGGUGUGGAUACGUAACAGAAAAGAUAACUCUGUGAUUAAAGGUGAGAUUGUAUCACACGGACAAGGAAAUACCCUAUGGGUAUCAACUGGAAAAGGGGACCUCAGAUUAGUAAAAAGCCAAGAUGUUGUCACUAGGUAAACAUUUGUGUGUUUGGUUUAAUAUAUGCUUUAUUAUCCUGAUUGUA